AAGAGCUGGAUCCCGGAAUACAAUUUUGAAACGUCAAAGAAGAGCUGUGCUCACAAAACUUUGGGAGAGGAUCACCGCAGAGAGAGGUGAAAUGAAGAUCAAACCCAAAGGAAAACUCAUUUGCAUCAUACAUGAGGAGCCUUCAAUAAAUGCUCCAAAGAAGGUCCAUCAAAUCUAACCACAUAUGGAAUUACCGUGGCUACUCAAGGGACAAGAUAUAUUUCUGGGGUUGCAUCCCCACUGCUCCUGCAUUUAUCUUCCUGGCUGGCUGGUUGCUUGCCUGGUUUCAGUGCAGCACAGAUGGCAGCACCCCUAAAUCAGAGGCGGAUGACACAUGGUUUCCUGGUCCUCCUUCAAGUUGCCACUUUGCUUAUAAGAGCUCAUUUCCUGGGAGUCCAAAUAAUUAUGUUUCACCUGUGCUAUGUACUCCAUAAUUACGUUAUUUUCUUAAUUAUGCUUGAUGACAAAGUUAUCAAAA